rnacentral:lncRNA from 10 species
GGGAAAGCUGUCUGAGACAAUAUGAAAAUCAAUGAUGCCACUCUAGCAUUAGCUGAAGAUCCCCUUGAUUUCAUCCAGCAGCCAAGACACUAAGUGACCCAAAGGAAGAAAAGGGUGAUCAGCGUGGCUGUGUGCCUACUCAGCGCGAAGACAACAAGGAUGAAAACCUUUAUGAUGAUCCACUUCCACUUAAUGAAUAGUAAAUAUAUUUUAUCUUUCUUUAUAAUUUUUUAAAUAACGUUUUCUCUAGCUUAUUGUAACAAUACAGUGUAUAAUGC